GACGAACGCUGGCGGCGUGCCUAAUACAUGCAAGUAGAACGCACAGUUUAUACCGUAGCUUGCUACACCAUAGACUGUGAGUUGCGAACGGGUUAGUAACGCGUAGGUAACCUGCCUGGUAGCGGGGGAUAACUAUUGGAAACGAUAGCUAAUACCGCAUAAUAUUAAUUAUUGCAUGAUAAUUAAUUGAACGGUGCAAUUGCAGCACUACCAGAUGGACCUGCGUUGUAUUAGCUAGUAGGUGAGGUAACGGCACACCUAGGCGACGAUACAUAGCCGACCCGAGAAGGUGAUCGGCCCCCCUUGGACUGGGACACGGCCCAGACUCCUACGGGAGGCAGCAGUAGGGGAUCUUCGGCCAUGGACGACAGUCUGACCGAGCAACGCCGCGUGAGUGAAGAAGGGUUUCGGAUCGGAAAGCUCUGUUGUAAGAGAAGAACGGGGGUGAUGGUGGAAAGUUCACACUGUGACGGUAUCUUACCAGAAAGGGACGGCUAACUACGUG
rnacentral:rRNA from 1 species